AUUGAACGCUGGCGGCAUGCUUUACACAUGCAAGUCGAACGGUAACAGGCCUUCGGGUGCUGACGAGUGGCGAACGGGUGAGUAAUGCAUCGGAACGUGCCCAGAGGUGGGGGAUAAAGCAGCGAAAGCUGUGCUAAUACCGCAUGUGAUCUGAGGAUGAAAGCGGGGGACCAAGCAGCAAUGUUUGGCCUCGCGCCUCUGGAGCGGCCGAUGUCAGAUUAGGUAGUUGGUGGGGUAAAGGCCUACCAAGCCGACGAUCUGUAGCUGGUCUGAGAGGACGACCAGCCACACUGGGACUGAGACACGGCCCAGACUCCUACGGGAGGCAGCAGUGGGGAAUUUUGGACAAUGGGCGCAAGCCUGAUCCAGCAAUGCCGCGUGCGGGAAGAAGGCCUUCGGGUUGUAAACCGCUUUUGUACGGAACGAAAAGGCUCUGGCUAAUACCUGGGGCUGAUGACGGUACCGUAAGAAUAAGCACCGGCUAACUACGU
rnacentral:rRNA from 1 species